rnacentral:rRNA from 1 species
UGGGGAAUUUUGGACAAUGGGCGAAAGCCUGAUCCAGCAAUGCCGCGUGUGUGAAGAAGGCCUUCGGGUUGUAAAGCACUUUUGUCCGGAAAGAAAUCCUUGGCUCUAAUACAGUCGGGGGAUGACGGUACCGGAAGAAUAAGCACCGGCUAACUACGUGCCAGCAGCCGCGGUAAUACGUAGGGUGCAAGCGUUAAUCGGAAUUACUGGGCGUAAAGCGUGCGCAGGCGGUUUGCUAAGACCGAUGUGAAAUUCCCGGGCUCAACCUGGGAACUGCAUUGGUGACUGGCAGGCUAGAGUAUGGCAGAGGGGGGUAGAAUUCCACGUGUAGCAGUGAAAUGCGUAGAGAUGUGGAGGAAUACCGAUGGCGAAGGCAGCCCCCUGGGCCAAUACUGACGCUCAUGCACGAAAGCGUGGGGAGCAAACAGGAUUAGAUACCCUGGUAGUCCACGCCCUAAACGAUGUCAACUAGUUGUUGGGGAUUCAUUUCCUUAGUAACGUAGCUAACGCGUGAAGUUGACCGCCUGGGGAGUACGGUCGCAAGAUUAAAACUCAAAUGAAUUGACGGGGUCAUAGCUGUUUCCU